GUGGGGAGCAGGAUUGUCCCUGAAACUGGUGGGGUGAACCUGGAGUGCUUAGGAGGCCUCUGGAAAUCCAUAAUAGCUCCUCCAGCAAAAUCUUCUAGGGGCCAUGUUUUUACCUUCUUAUGAAUAUAUGUGUUUUUACCCAAGGCAGGGACAGUUCCCAGAGCUCUGAUGUGUCUCUCCCAGACUGUUAAGCUUAAAGACAGCUGCUGUGGACGGAGUGACAAAAAGUGUGUUCAGGCCUCUCCUGUGACAUCCAGAGCCCCUCAGUUCACUCUCAGCAAAGGUGUCUGAUGUUCCCUGUGAUCCUAUGGGCUCAAUGUGAAGAUCAGCUAAGCCCAGCCCAGCCCUGCACACCAGGACCCUGUCCCUGCACUGCCUGUGUUCCCUUCCACAGCCAACCCUCAUGUUCCAGUAGACAGGAGGGGACAUCUCCAUCCUGUCACCUCCAUGAUGCCCUGAGCUGUAGACCCUGACUUCCCCAAUGAAAAUAAGGAUCUCAAUUUGAACUUGAUUGUUCACAUCCUUGAUCUGACAGGUUGAUUGGCUGUUAAAUAAAUUAUUGAGAUACUUAGAGAUUGUGGAGGAAAUAAACAUUAAUGUGGAGAGCC